rnacentral:rRNA from 1 species
UACGGAAGGAGCUAGCGUUAUUCGGAAUUACUGGGCGUAAAGCGCACGUAGGCGGCUUUGUAAGUUAGAGGUGAAAGCCUGGAGCUCAACUCCAGAACUGCCUUUAAGACUGCAUCGCUUGAAUCCAGGAGAGGUGAGUGGAAUUCCGAGUGUAGAGGUGAAAUUCGUAGAUAUUCGGAAGAACACCAGUGGCGAAGGCGGCUCACUGGACUGGUAUUGACGCUGAGGUGCGAAAGCGUGGGGAGCAAACAGG